ACCUUAUAUAGAUGUAGUAACGCAAGACAGUAACGCAUUUCCCUGUAAGGUAGUGUUAAGUAGAAACUUUAACGAUAAGUACUAUUGUGUAGCUUUUAAAGUUGAAAUAGUAUGAGUCAAAGUGGAAUAGGUUAACCGUAAGACCUUGAAUUGAAAAGUUCUAAAAUUAAUCUAGAGAAACAAAAGUUAUUUUGCUAUUUUCACUAUUUCUAGUUACGGUGAA
rnacentral:ncRNA from 1 species